rnacentral:rRNA from 1 species
CGUCUAUAUACGUAUAGCAUAUCAAUAAGCGGAGGAAAAGAAACUAACUAGGAUUCCCUCAGUAACGGCGAGUGAAGCGGGAAGAGCUCAAAUUUGAAAUCUUCAAGGUUCUACCUUGACGAAUUGUAGUUUAAAGAAGUGUUUUCUGUUGGAGUUUUGGUAAAAGUUCUUUGGAAUAGGACAUCAUAGAGGGUGAGAAUCCCGUAUUUGACCAUUAUUUUCAACUGUGUGAUACACUUUCGAAGAGUCGGAUUGUUUGGGAAUGCAGUCCAAAAUGGGUGGUAAAUUUCAUCUAAAGCUAAAUAUUGGCGAGAGACCGAUAGCGAACAAGUACCGUGAGGGAAAGAUGAAAAGAACUUUGAAAAGAGAGUUAAACAGUACGUGAAAUUGUCAAAAGGGAAGCGUUUGACACCAGUGUUGUUUUCUCGAAAAUCAAUUAAAAAUGGCGGGAUUUUGUGUUGUAUUGACUUUAUCAGCUUUCUGCACUUUUUUCCUACCUUUUUUAAUGCACUUUUCGUUUAACAAGUCAACAUCAAUUUCUUUUGUUGUAAAAGGGUCAUUGGAAGGUGGCUUUCUUUUCGGAGAAAGUGUUUAUAGCCUUUGACUUCUGCAAUCGGAGAGAUUGAGGUCUGCAGCGUAGAUCCUUCGGGGUUAGAUACAUUUGUGCUAAGCUAUAGCCCUUCAUAGACAACUUGUUGACUAUGAUCAGUCAUGUAGCUUACUCGCUUAUGCUAUUUUACCUACGCUUAGGAUGUUGAUCUGUAGUGCGUGCGC